rnacentral:rRNA from 1 species
CCUUACGGCCACACGAGUGUGAAUGCGCCAGAUCUCGUCUGAUCUCGGAAUCUAAACACACUUGGGUUCGAUCAGUACUUGGAUGGGAGACCACCUGGGAACAACGAGUGCUGUAAGCU